GACGAACGCUGGCGGCGUGCUUAACACAUGCAAGUCGAUCGGUAACGCGGGGGCAACCCUGGCGACGAGAGGCGGACGGGUGAGGAACGCUUGGGAAUCUGCCUAUCAGCGGGGGACAACACGGGGAAACUCGUGCUAAUACCGCAUACGCUCUACGGAGGAAAGCCGGGGACCGCAAGGCCUGGCACUGAUAGAUGAGCCCAAGCCGGAUUAGCUAGUUGGCGGGGUAACGGCCCACCAAGGCGACGAUCCGUAGCUGGUCUGAGAGGACGAUCAGCCACACUGGAACUGAGACACGGUCCAGACUCCUACGGGAGGCAGCAGUGGGGAAUAUUGGACAAUGGGGGAAACCCUGAUCCAGCGACGCCGCGUGGGUGAAGAAGGCCUGCGGGUUGUAAAGCCCUUUCGGUAGGGACGAAAGCUCUCGACCUAACACGUCGGGAGGUUGACUUAACCUACAGAAGAAGCACCGGCUAACUCUGUGCCAGCAGCCGCAGUAAGAC
rnacentral:rRNA from 1 species